UUCUCUUGCACGUACGGCGAAAAACAAUUAUUCAGUCUCAGCAAUGCAGGAGUUCGCUGCAGUGGAACGCUUUUUGCUUGCGAGAAGGAAUUGUAAUUUGUUGGUUACAACUUUCGAGUCACGAAUCGACACACGGUUUCAGCCCAGAAACGAGUCAAACGCUGAUGUGGCAGGUGUUUCUUCCUUGGCAAGCUAAAGAGCAUCGGUUCUAUUCAGUGAGUGAGUCCCUGGCAUCACAGCCUCAUCGAACUACAGCCAAGGCACAGUGAAAAAUUUUCGUUGAAAAUUUCAGUUUAAAAACUUUUCACACUCCUUUCACUUAGCCACGAACUACUAACGGAACUUUCACAGCAGUUAAAUAAUUGCAGCGGCCAAGCCGUUCGACUGCAGCUUAGCUACAUCUGCGUUACAGAGACUGACGAAUUAUGGUUUUCACAGCACGUGCAAGGGGAACACCCCUAAGUAGUGAAGUACAGUCUGGACAAUGAACUUUGUUCCAGUUCACGUAACGAGGAGAGCAACACAUUCGUCGUGCGGAGAGCACGCCUGAAAACAAAAGUUCAGUAAGAUACCGCGUUUUCCGUUUCACACGUCCCCCACUACAGGAGUCUUAUUAUCCUAAGAUUUCGCCUUGAAAUGUCCCAGGAGUCCAACACAAGGUGGACAAACGGGGAAUUUCAUCGCCAGAGGCGACACUCUACCUCAUUGCUGAUGUGGGGAAUGAAAUAGUGAGCCCCUUCACAACAAGGAACCAAGUCCUACGGUGUCCGGAAAGUUCCAGUUUGAUAUGCAACGUUUAUUUGGACUCAUUCGGACUGUUCACAGGACAAAGCCGGUGCAAUGUUCAUCCAGGCCAUGCCCCCAAACUUGGAAAGCUGCGCAAAUACCAACCUACUGUGCCCUCUUCAGAGGAGACACCAAGCUCGAAUGCAACACCUGGUACAACAACGGGACAAUCUCAAGCUCCCCAGAAAAAGAAGAGGAGCCACUCCCCUCAACACAUAAGCGCAUAGCAAUGCUCCAGAGAAAAGUCAACCAAUACCGCAAGGCCUUGAACCGGAUAAAGUUGAAGGAACAACGGACCAACAUCACGAAACAAGAUGCACUUAUAGUAAUGAAACGGUUCAUCCCCCCAGAUGCGUACACACUGCUGUCUGCACGGAUACACCUUUCUGUGAAAAAACAUUGCAAGAGAUGGUCAGAAGACAUGAAAAAGUUCGCAAUGAAACUGUACUUUCAUAGCCCGAAGGCAUACAGUUUCAAGCUGUACUUUACAGCUUUUUACUUUACACUUUACAGCCUCCACACGUGAUUGGUGAAAUAAAAAAUGGAUUGAAUUCAUAGUACGUGUCAUGAAGGAGCCGUCUGUGCUGAGUAUUAGAAGGUAGCUCUCAAAUAUAAACACGAGUCCUGGA